CUUCAGAUACGUGGCAAGAUUAAACUGUAAACUGAUUUUUACUCUUCAGUUAAUGCUACAUUACAGUGACUAUCCUACUGACCUUCAUCUGGCUCAAGCACUAGAGAAUUAAGCUAUAACAACUGCAAAAAGGAUUGGAGCAAGAAAAUGUGAGCUAUUCCUCCCCCUCUUUCCUGCCAGCCUUGAGCUGGGCCACCUUCCUCCACCUUUCCUCAUCAUCUCUGUCAAAUUUCCAUGACUUGGGAAAGAUUAAAAAAAAAAAAAAAAAAGUCUGUAAAGGGCAGUGGUCAAUCCUGAGAACAAAAGAUAUCUCCCUCAUAUGCACCAGACUUCCCAGUUCUCCCAGUGAUAACUGCAACAGCA
rnacentral:lncRNA from 1 species